rnacentral:tRNA from 1 species
GCCGAAGUGGCGAAAUAGGUAGACGCAAUUGACUCAAAAUCAAUCACUUUUUAUAAGUAUGCCGGUUCGAUCCCGGCCUUCGGCA